rnacentral:rRNA from 1 species
CGCACGGGUGAGUAACACGUAUGGAACCUGCCCUAUGCAGGGGGAUAAGCGGAAGAAAUUCCGUCUAAUACCGCAUAACACCUUUAGGAGACAUCUUCUUGGGGGUCAAAGGAGGCGACUCCGGCAUAGGAUGGCCAUGCGUCGCAUUAGCUAGUCGGCGGGGUGACGGCCCACCGUGGCGACGAUGCGUAGGGGUUCUGAGAGGAAGGCCCCCCACACUGGGACUGAGACACGGCCCAGACUCCUACGGAAGGCAGCAG